CCUAGCUCUCAGAAGUGGCAACUUGGAUCCUUUUUCCUGGCUGAGCACCCAGCCUCACCUCCUGCCAGCUGCUGCAGAAGAAAUCCUCUGUGUGUUCUCCUGAAUUGUAAAGGCUGGUAAGAAAGAGAAGCCAAAGUCAUCCAUUAAUCCACAGGCAAAGUCCUAUUGAAGCUGCUGCAGUGAAAGCUCUCCCAUGCUGCCCUGGAAAUAACCCCGGCCGUGACGCGCUGAGAUGACCCUAGACACCUCUGCUGCGAGGGGAUGUGGGACCUCAGGGAGCC